UGCUGCCAGCUCCCAGUUAAGCUUGCUGCAAUUUCAGAUAUCAGCAUGCUCCACAGGACGAUGUUGAUUCGGUGUUUCUUGAUUCUCCAGGGGCAUGUACUGAGCCAUGAUCGCACGAAUCUCUGAAUCCAUGUAACUCUGGUUUGGCAUGAUGGUAACACAAAGUAUGAGUUAGCCGUAGAUUAUUGCAAACAUAAGAAGAACUAGAAAAUUACGUGAUCAUUCGGAGAUGGAUUAGAAUAGAAGGAUGAGUUGUUUACCCGUAGCCGAUAUUUGUAUACGGCAUAUGCUCCAAUUCCAGCCAAAGCGAGGCCAAAGAAAAUAACCCAAAGGAAGCCCCAGCCCACUGACGAAGAAGCAACUUUGCCUGCACAGUGAUUGCGAAAGGCGUCACAUAAAACGUUCUAAAGCGAAUGAAAUUAU
rnacentral:sRNA from 1 species